AGUGAACGCUGGCGGUAGGCCUAACACAUGCAAGUCGAACGGCAGCACAGUAAGAGCUUGCUCUUACGGGUGGCGAGUGGCGGACGGGUGAGGAAUACAUCGGAAUCUACUUUUUCGUGGGGGAUAACGUAGGGAAACUUACGCUAAUACCGCAUACGACCUACGGGUGAAAGCAGGGGAUCUUCGGACCUUGCGCGAUUGAAUGAGCCGAUGUCGGACUAGCUAGUUGGCGGGGUAAAGGCCCACCAAGGCGACGAUCCGUAGCUGGUCUGAGAGGAUGAUCAGCCACACUGGAACUGAGACACGGUCCAGACUCCUACGGGAGGCAGCAGUGGGGAAUAUUGGACAAUGGGCGCAAGCCUGAUCCAGCCAUACCGCGUGGGUGAAGAAGGCCUGCGGGUUGUAAAGCCCUUUUGUUGGGAAAGAAAAGCAGCAGGUUAAUACCCCGCUGUUCUGACGGUACCCAAAGAAUAAGCACCGGCUAACUUCGU
rnacentral:rRNA from 1 species